rnacentral:rRNA from 1 species
AUGGCUACGAGUUUAUUUCUAAUGAGUUUGUUGAUGCUUUUGCUUGACUCUAACCCCUGCACAGCUCUCUCAUGGAGGAACAAUAGUUUAGUGGAUGAUAUUGGUAUACCAUGUCCAGUUUCUCCGCAUCCAUUUACUAUGUGCAAGUCAGAGGCAGAAGCUUACGGCUAUCCAUGUGAAGAUCACAAGGUCACAACUGAAGAUGGAUAUAUUCUUAGCUUAAAAAGGAUUCCUCAUGGUCAUGAUACUGAUAACUCAACCGGGGAUCAGAAGACAAGGCAACCAAUACUGCUAUUCCACGGGCUUUUUGUGGAUGGCGUUUCUUGGCUACUGGGUACACCAGAACAAUCACUUGGCUUUAUUUUGGCAGAUGGUGGGUUUGAUGUUUGGCUAGCGAACACUCGUGGAACUAAUACCAGCCGCAAACAUACAUCGCUGUCCCCAAAAGAUCCGGCUUUCUGGGAUUGGUCGUGGGACCAAAUUGCUGAAUAUGAUCUUCCAGCCGUGCUUGAGUUUGUUUAUCACCACACAGGACGUCAAAAAGUCCACUAUAUCGGUCACUCACUGGGAACCUUGAUUAUUCUUGCAGCCUUCUCUGAGCACAAGUUACUACACUUAGUCCGAUCAGCUGUGUUGCUCUGCCCAAUUGCUUAUCUGAGCAGAACUAGAUCCGAUCUCACCCGGCUUGCUGCUCAAAUGUUCCUGGCAGAAGCAGUUUACCGUAUAGGUAUUCAUGAGUUCAAUCCUGUUGGAAAAGUUGCAGCUCAACUUCUAGCCAAAGUAUGUGGCGACCCUAAAAUUGACUGCCACGAUGUAUUUUCUGCUCUUGCAGGACCGGACUGUUGCCUCAAUAAAUCAACUACAUGUGCCUUCAUGCUGCAUGCUCCACAGCCUACGUCUAUGAGAAACCUUAUUCACUUGUCGCAGAGUAAGAAUCGCAAUCAGAAGCUUAAGUUUUCGCUUGUUCAAAGCUCAGGAACGAUGUUAACUUUUCUCAUCCCGAUUUGCAUGCAACCAGUGGUCAGGAGCGAAGGGGUCAGAAGGUACGACUAUGGCAACGCCAAGGAAAACAUGAAGCAUUACAAGCAGGCACACCCUCCGCUGUACAACCUCUCAUCCAUUCCGACCCAUGUCCCCAUGCUCCUGACGCAUGGCGGCCAAGACUUCCUCGGCGAUGUCCCUGACACCAGGCACCUCCUGAAGACACUGGUCAGAAACCAUGACUCCGAUAACAUCGAGGUGCAAUACUUGCCCGACUAUGCUCAUGCUGACUUUGUGAUAGCCUAUAAUGCUCCACGCCUCGUAUAUGAACCGAUGGUCGACUUCUUUCAACGUCACUGA